rnacentral:rRNA from 1 species
AUUGAACGCUGGCGGCAUGCCUUACACAUGCAAGUCGAACGGCAGCACGGGAGCAAUCCUGGUGGCGAGUGGCGAACGGGUGAGUAAUAUAUCGGAACGUGCCCAGUCGUGGGGGAUAACGUAGCGAAAGCUACGCUAAUACCGCAUACGAUCUAUGGAUGAAAGCGGGGGAUCGCAAGACCUCGCGCGAUUGGAGCGGCCGAUAUCAGAUUAGGUAGUUGGUGAGGUAAAGGCUCACCAAGCCGACGAUCUGUAGCUGGUCUGAGAGGACGACUAGCCACACUGGGACUGAGACACGGCCCAGACUCCUACGGGAGGCAGCAGUGGGGAAUUUUGGACAAUGGGCGCAAGCCUGAUCCAGCAAUGCCGCGUGCAGGAUGAAGGCCUUC